rnacentral:rRNA from 1 species
GGGUCAGUAGGUUGGUCGUGCCACCGGUACGUACUGGUCUCACUGAUUCCUCCUUCCUGAAGAACCGUAAUGCCAUUAAUUUGGUGUUGCGGGGAAACAGGACUGUUACUUUGAAAAAAUUAGAGUGUUUAAAGCAAGCUAACGCUUGAAUACAUUAGCAUGGAAUAAUGACAUAGGACGAUCGAUCCUAUUUUGUUGGUUUCUAGGAUUGACGUA